GUUUCUGUGGCGCAAGUGGUUAGUGUGUUCGGCUGUUAACUGAAAGAUUGGUCGUUCAAGCCCACCAAGGGACA
rnacentral:tRNA from 1 species